GAAACAUCCCUAUGGAGCGGGACUUGCUUCAGUGAGGCUUUGGUGCUCACUGAGUCUGUCCCUUAAGUGUGUCCUU
rnacentral:pre_miRNA from 1 species